rnacentral:misc_RNA from 1 species
GAUGAAGAACGUAGCGAAAUGCGAUACUUGGUGUGAAUUGCAGAAUCCCGUGAACCAUCGAGUCUUUGAACGCAAGUUGAGCCUCAAGCCAUUAGGUUGAGGGUACGUCUGCCUGGGCGUCACAUAUCGUUGCCUGAUGCCAGUUUCCUCGUGAUGGGUGACUGUGCAGGGCGAAUGAUGGCUUCCCGUGAGCAUUGUUGCCUCAUGGUUGGUUGAAAAUUGAGUCCUUGGUAGGGAGCGCCGUGAUAGAUGGUGGUUGAGUGACGAACGAGACCCAAUCAUGUGAGACCCCUACCGAAUUUGGCCUUCAUGACCCACAUGCGUCUUUGGAACGCUCAUGACGAGACCUCAGGUCAGGCGGGGCUACCCGCUGAGUUUAAGCAUAUCAAUAAGCGGAGGA